GACGAACGCUGGCGGCGUGCCUAAUACAUGCAAGUUGAGCGCUGAAGGUUGGUACUUGUACCAACUGGAUGAGCAGCGAACGGGUGAGUAACGCGUGGGGAAUCUGCCUUUGAGCGGGGGACAACAUGUGGAAACGAAUGCUAAUACCGCAUAAAAACUUUAAACACAAGGUUUAAGUUUGAAAGAUGCAAUUGCAUCACUCAAAGAUGAUCCCGCGUUGUAUUAGCUAGUUGGUGAGGUAAAGGCUCACCAAGGCGAUGAUACAUAGCCGACCUGAGAGGGUGGUCGGCCACAAUGGGACGGGGACCCGGCCCAAACUCCCUAGGGAGGCAGCAGGAGGGAAUCUUUGGCAAUGGACGAAAGUCUGACCGAGCAACGCCGGGUGGGGGAAGAAGGUUUUCGGAUCGUAAAACUCUGUUGGUAGGGAAGAACGUUGGUGGGAGUGGAAAGCUCAUCAAGUGACGGUAACUAACCAGAAAGGGACGGCUAACUACGUG
rnacentral:rRNA from 1 species